GGAGAAGAUGCAUCAUUUGCGAAGUCCAUGCCACACUGAAUCAGUGACCUUCGCUGCUGUUGUUGUUGCGGCUGUUCAUUUUCGUGUUGUCCUUAUCGAAGUAAGCUUGUGUGCAGAGUGUGUAAGCGUGAACACUGCGUUCUGAGACAACCUGCUGCGUAGUGAUCAGAAUUUGGAAGAUUUCUAGUUUGGACAUUGACUGGAAGAAGCAAGAACGAUGGAGUAUGAGGUUGACGAUUACGAAACGUACUUUAUAUCCUAUUCCGAAGCAUCUGCUUUCGUUGGUUGCUUCUUCGCCCGCAUGUUUAGCCACCCGUGGCAAGAUGGUAGCAAUGAGGAGAAUUUCUGGGUAUACUGGCAACCAGCCAAAGUAUGCUGGAGUGCCCCCUUGUACACCCCAACAUGCUCACUUUCCAUCAAUAGCUUUGCUUGUAUGGUUGAAAAAGUGGAUCAGUCGGGUUUGUAUGUCGGCAGAGUAGUGGCAAACGAAGCCCCGGACAUUUCACGAUGGGAGGUGAUGAGCAUAGACCAUGUUAUUGGCAACUCGAAUGAGCCAACCGAAAUCCGUCCAAAAAUACGCUUGUAUUCAGGAAGUCGCAGUUCCACGUUUACAUUCAAUAUCCAACUUCAGAUGAUACUGAAAGGUCUUCACACCCUACACAUUCACGUUCGUGGUGUGGAGAUAUUGGAGGACAUGUGAUUGCCGGCUGGCCGACGAAUGCAAGCUGUACCCCAGGGUGGUGAAUCGAUUCGAUAGAGCGUGCUGGUUGCGGACCAGACGCACGUAGCAUUGGUCAAACCGGCCGUCGUGGACUACGUAUGCACACAACAUCCAGCCGAGCAAGGUACACCAAGCCAAUACGCAUUACCUGUCACGUGCCGCGCAUUUUACCGGUAUGUUUGCAAGCCCACGUCCCACGUUCGCGUCCAGCUACCUUCGUUUCCGCUUCAUCUUUGUUGCACUUGCCUCCCAUGUACAUGGUUGUGCUUGCCUCACCUAAGUGUCUCCCCGACUAACCUUGAUUAUAGGAACUUAGAAGAGAACCUCGUUGGAACAACAAACUUCUCCUUAUCUCUAGUGUAGAAAGGCAGUAUUUGCUCACUGUUUUAAUGAUGUGUUAUGUUUCCGCUGAGACGAUGUGAAUACCAUAUUAGUCAUACUGGUCGAAUAUUUGAAAAAAUAUACAAAAAAUGUGUAGUGUUUCACUUUCCUCGUGCCUGUACAUUUUACAAUACCCCGCAGGUCUGGUUGCAGGUAUUUCUCGCACAUCUCUAGUGUAGAAAGGCAGUAUUUGCUCACUUUUCCUAAAGUUCUGUUUACUUCCCGACACUCCUGUCAAAUGCCACACUUGCCAGAUAACUAAUGGAACAAUGUAUCGUCUUACAUACUUCUCUAUUACACUCUCUAUCCUAUAAAACUACAGCUCGUCUUUUGUCCCUUCUGUGCAUAUUCCACCUGUUUAGUUACCAAACUUAACCUGUCAAUGACUGCCGUGUGCUGUCGCCACAGU